GCUGCCCCCGGGCUGCCCCCCGCAGAGCCGGCGGCCGCGGGCCCGGGGAGCCGCGCGUCUGCCUCUGACUCGGGAGGUGACUCCAGCACAGAGGGACGGUGAUGCUCAAUCCGACGCGCAGUCCAGGAGGAGAGGCCGGAGGCGAGAUGAGAAACUGUUUUGCAGGCUGUGGUGGAGCCAAAUGAAGCUUGUCCCCAUCUGUCUCAGAGGUCUGGACCUUUGGAGUGUAAUAGAAACAGAGGUUUUUUAAUUAAGAAAAAGAAACAAACUCAACCCCCAGUUUCUGAGAAGCAGCAGAAGGAUGGAUGAACCAACAGAUGGAAGGAAGAAAGGAAGGAAGGAAACUUAUGAGUCAGCACUGGUAUAAAAGCAUUUCCACAUUCAAGACAGCUCCUAAGUAUGAGAACUUUUAAUUAAAUGUCCAAACACUGGGGUUCAAAGACUUACAAGAGCAUAUACAGAUGGUUCGCUGACCCAUGGGAGAGGAGCACAAGAGGGAGUAUAACUAUUUAAGCCCCAAAACAAAGGGUACCCUCUUUGGAAAGGUGAGACCUUGUGUUCUGCUCCCAGCUGCCAGGAUUAUUUCUGUUUUUCACCAAUGACUAUGUAACAGAAAACACAAAAACUGUUGUAAGAACAAAGACCAGAACCCAGUACUCCUCUCAAGGGAGUACCCUCAUCACUGGCAUACAGUCAGGGUCCUUAUACCCUUCCUUAUACUCAUUCUGGCUGUACUGAUCUGCAUUCCCAGCUGCCUAAUGACACUGUAACACAAGGUUUGGAUGAUGUCCUCACCCUGACUAUAAACUUGCAAUCAGAGACAGCCCUUUCCUGAGAAGUGAGAGAUGUAUAUUUAGGCUCCUCAGUCUGAGGAGGUCCUACCACCAAAUCUCCAUUUUCCUGGGCGAGUGUUUACACCACUAACUUGAUACUAGGCAACAGAUGACCACUACCCUCUGCCCCUUUAUUAGAGAGCACCCAUUCAGUGCUCUGUACUGAAUUCAAUGCUCUUGAUGUCAAUCAGAUGUUAAGUGUGUUCUGUGGAUGCCAAAUGCUUUAGGAACUCCAGGCAGACAAGGUUCUUUGGGUAGAUGUGAUAACUUUUAUUAGACCAAGUAAAUAGUUGGGAAAAUUGUUCUUUGCAAGCUUUGGGGCACAAACACCCUUCAUCAGGCAUAGGGAGAGUUUGCGGGUGUUUUGUGUGCUCUUCUGGGUGGAACAGAAGUCAAAAUGCAGGUCUGUGAAAAUGCAAAUGCCCAGCAGCAAGGAUCAGAGGGAAUGGGAGACUAUAUGUGCGAGACAGGUAGGUUGGGGGUGGGGAGUGGGAAUGUUGAAUUGGUGAUAAAAUGUGGCUGGUAAAAUGUGGACAGGCUACCUAGGGUUAUCAAAUGUUAGGCACGUUACAAUGUGUCAUAAAUCCAAUGUCUAUAUUUAGUCCAUGGUUUUUUGUAUCCAGUAGAUUUAUGAAGUGAAGUUCAUGGACUUGUCUAUGAAAGGUGUUAGGAAGUUCAGGCACUUUCCACCUCUGAUCCAGAUCACAGUAUACCUUAGGUUGGAGUUAGGUGCUUAUGUGCUUGAUCGUAAUCAUUGUAGAGCACAUUGAGAAUCCUAAAUAUAGAUACCCAGGGGCCUUUUAUGACCAAAAAGGAAUCACAUAAUGAUUCAAGGCACCUAGGAAGGUUUGUGGAAGCUGGAAUGUAGUUGAAAUGGGUCGCUUUCUGUUCUUUAGGAUGCUAAACCUGUUUAGAAGCCUACAAGAACAAUUUGGAUCUGGCUUCACUGACUGUCAUUAACAUUCCUGGUUCAAAGAAGGGAAACUUCCUAUCAAAGAAUUUCACAAGCGCCUAGAGAGAGCCAUUACUGAUUUUCUUAUAUAGAGAGAGGUGGUUAGUAGGGCUGUGCGAAGCUUCGGUAGCUGAUUCAAUUUGGAGGAGAUUCGGCCCAAUUCGGGGACUGAAGCUCUGAAUCCAAAUCGAAUUGGGAGACCAAGUAAAAGCUCCAAAUCUAUUCAAAGCAUCCGAAUCUAUUUGGAAAAUCUUUGGAAAAAGAUUCAGCUGAUUCGGAGAUUUGAUCAUAGACUAAACAGGCAGCAGACAGCUGCCUCCAGCUGAUAAGUCUCUUGGGGUUGGGGGAGGGGGGAUGUGGGCAUGACUCGCUCCAGGCGGAAGGGAGCAAGCAGCAGCAGGGCAGAGCCCCUGCUCCCAGCGCCCGCACCUGCUCCCCUCCGCCCCAACUGGGCAGCUUGUCCCAGCCCCAGCCCCAAUCUCAUGCCCCCCGGUAAGCAGUAGCAGGGCGGAGCUCCCACUCUCAGUGCUGAUGCAGGUGUGGCAGCACUGGGAGCAGGUGCCCAGAGGCCCUACUUGCCACUCCUGCAGCCGGUGAGUGCGGAGCUUUUUGUUUUGUUUUGUGUUUUUUUUUUAAGUGCUGGGAGGCUGGGCCAGGUGGGGGAUGGGGCCAGGCAGGGCAGCCAUGGGAGCUUCUCCCGCAGCUCCCCCCGCCCAGGGAGAGGCAGGCACAGCCGGAGGAACCGGAGGAGAACCUGCAGCUUCCCGGCUGUGCCUGCCUCUCCCUGACCCAUCCAAAUCUCCAAAUCUCUGUGAAUCAGCACCGAAUCUUUUGAAGCCAAUUCGGCUGAAUCGAAUGGGGACAGUGAUCUGAAUUGGCCGAAUCCGAAUUGAACAUUUUCCUAUUCGCGCAGGCCUCAUGGUUAGUCUUAUUAGUCUGAAGUCAGGCAGAAGGCAAGGAAGAUUUGCACUGUUAUAGGCUAACUAAAUCAGAGAUGUAUAGGACAUGCUUUCAUAGGCACACUAGAUCCAUCAGCAAAGCUCUACAUUACAACCAUAUCUGCUGUGAUCCCAGUACCUGGGAUGCACAGCUUAAAGAUCUGGAGAAAGAAUUUCUUCAAUUACAAUACAAUCCUAAAACUGUAACCACUCACAUCAACCAAACCAGAUGACUCAGACCUCGUUCAACUUGCUGCAAUAGCCAACCCACAGAAAGGAACUACAGAAUCCCUUUGGCUGUCACUUACAGUCAUCUUGAACACAUGAGACACACCAUUAAUGACUUCCAACCUCUCCUGGAUAAAUGAUGACCAUCUCAAGGUAGUCAUAGAGGACAAAUCUGUCUUGGUUUACAGGCAGUCCCCCAAACUCAAAUGGUGUCUCUCCAACAACAGACAUACCUAACUUCUAUUCUCACCAAGGCACCAGACCUUGCUUUGGACUCAGAUGCCAGCUAUGCCCCCUCAUCAACACAGGCCAUACUAUCACUGAACCAACUAACAUGGAUUAUAACAACCAAGUCUCAUUUAGCUGCACCUUUCUCAAUGUCACAUACACCAUCACCUGCUUACAGUGCCCCUCUGCUGUUUACAUUGAAUGGAUGGGGUAAUCCUACAGGUAAGAAUGAAUGAACACUGAUCUGACACCCAUACUAGAAAGACAGAUACAGCUGUGGAAGAACACUAACCUCCCUGGCCACUCCACAAUGACCUCAAAGCGGCUGCUCUUAGACAACAAAAUCCUUAAACAUGAACUUGAACAGGAUAUUUCAGAACAAGAAAUCAUCCACAGACAUGAUUGUGUUAAGCACUGUCUAAACAGAGUCUACAGAUUCUUAUCCCAUUACCUGGAUUAGCUUUUAUAAACCCUGUAUCCCUCAAUGGGUUAAGCACUUUGCUUUUCUCUCUCCUGCUUACCUUGUCUCUCUCAACAGUGCCCUCUCCUUUUUCCUCCCUCCUUCCCUACCCUUUGUAUUCUGAUUACUGCUUUCAAUUCAGAAACUCUUUCCUGCAGCCCAUACACAGCAUUUGAUGAAAGCCUUCUGAUGAAAGAUUAUACUAUACAGCUCUGAUUUAGUUAGUCUAUAAAGGUGCAAAUCUACCACCAGCCGUCUGCCUCUGGUAUUUUAAACCAGUGUAUUAGAAUAACUAGUAAGGGAUAAUAAGCACCAAAUUCUCAUUCACUUGAGAAAGGGCAAGGGUAAGAUAUGUGCUAUCAAGCAGGGAUCAUAUUUAGAUGUGGAUCUCUAAGUCUUGGGUUUAUGUUUGACUUUUUCUCUGUACCAAAAGCUCCACAGUGGCGGCAACAGGGAGCAGUUUCAUUGCAGCGCCACAGACAAGAGAAAAAAUCUUCCUCUUAAUCUAUUUCCAUGGCAAAAGGUAACACUCCAACUCAAACUGCAUUCUAGGGGCAUCUUUACACGUGCACCAUGAUGGAGGGGAGAGGGACUGCUUUAAUUACAGCGGUUCCUGGGAGCUAUUCUAAUUAAAGCACCCACAGCAUCUCAUGUAUUCAGUGUCCCACGCUUAAAAAUGGUGGCAGAGGCCAACUAAAGCUUGUUCAGUGAACUUUAGUUAAAGUGCCCCGCCACCAUUUUGAAGCACAGGGAUGUUGAAUAAACGACGCCGAAGCUGCUGGAGCAUGCUAAUUAGCAUGCUCCGGCAUACUUGAUUAACUGAAUCUGCUCCAGAACUCAUUGGGGAAGGCGUCAGGCAUGUGCACAGGUGCCCUAGGGUCUGAAUCUGUUCUCUACACAUAGAAUUUGCACUGCUAUCAAAGGGAAGACCAUACUGACAGCUGCAUAUCAAGUAGGAAGGCUACCAUAAACUGGAGAAAUGUGCUCUUCAGCACGCCACCUGCGUAUAAACAUUUUAACCGGUGAGAACUUUUCUGUGUGUUUGAAAUUGUGUAAUAAAUGACAAAACCCAGGUAUCACAACAGCCAGCCUGAAUUCUGAAGCACUCGACAAUGAUCAACCUGUAAGAUUGCUUUGUAUUCCUGCACAUAGAUCGGCUUGUCUUUUAUUGCACACUGAACAGCAUUGAGAUGGCAGCAUUCUAAAUAAUGCCCCUUCUCCCCACCCUCACACGUUUUUUUUUGUUAUCCUAUGGUAGGAACCAGUUGUUCCAGACCACAGUUGUCCAAGGAAACAACAGAUCAAUGUCAGCAAACAAUGAGAGACGACAAACCAGCAUUUCAUUAUAUUCAUUAGACUACACCAAUUUUUUCUCUAUACUUUGUGCAUCUCUUCACUUACUUUUAGGAGCCAUAGUUAGCUAGAUUAUACUUGAUAGCCUUAGGAUGAAAAUAAGAAGUACAGGAAGAAAUAGUAAAAUAAAAUAGGUUUUAAGGUUGGAUUUGGGCAGGGGGUGGGGAAUAAAACAACUUUCCCAGGGGCAAACAUUGUACAUUUUGGUUCAGGCUUGCCAAAAUUGUUCGUGCUAUUGCAGCUUCAUUAAUCUUAAUGGGAUUUCUAGUUCCAAUAAGUCCAUGAAUGUGCAAUAAAAAAAUAAGCCUUUA